GCCGCCUUAGCUCAGUUGGUAGAGCACUCGCCUUGUAAGCGAGCGGUCGUCCGUUCGAUUCGGACAGGCGGCACCA
rnacentral:tRNA from 1 species